AAUGUUUAACUGCAAUUUAAACGUGUAUCACGGAUUAUUAUUCCAGCGCCACCUAAAUGGACGAUUUGCCGCAUUUCUGAUAUUGAAAAGAAACUCGAUUUGUGAAACAGCUGAUACCGCGCGGUAAUGAACCGGGGAAAUAUAUUUGAAAAAAAACUCACUGAAAUUGCUUAAUCGGAAACAAGAAACGAAACAAAUACCCUAAUCGUGAUUUAUUUAUAAUCACAAAGCAAACAAUUUACUACAGAAG